rnacentral:lncRNA from 1 species
UUAUUCUCAAUGAGUAAACACAUUUAUUUAUUUAAAUCUUGUCUUUAACACAUCCGGCCACUUUAUAUUUUGAACAAGAAACAGAUUACAAGAAACUUAAAAAUCUUCAUUAUUUAGGCAAUACAAAUACAACAAAGUAACACGAACUGAUGGACACAACUGACACCACUUGCUGCAAGAGCUUACACAGGCAGCUUUUAUUUAAACGAAAGCAAUCGAGGAUUGCAAUAUUAUUGGAAACAUAAACACACUACAAACUUGCAUACAGGCACAAGGCUUGACCUCCAAAAGUACAUAGAACUAUGUAGUAAUGGACGACGUAUUAUAUAAGGUUCAUUGAUUAGCAAUGACGGUAGUAGCAGUAGCAACCAUAAUGCUUGUGAUUUUUUAAACAAGCGCCAUGGUAAGCUCCCUCGUGGUGAAUACAAUAAUUGCUGCAUUUAUGAGGAGCACACAACCCAUGCCAUCCUUUGCUAAGUUUUGUGCAAGGUUUUGCUUCCCCCGUUUGCAUCUCUGCAUAAAAGUUGGAUCGGUAAAGCUAAAUAGCAUCAGCUAAUCAAUAAAUUUACAUCAAUAUUUUACUUUACUUUUAAGGACACUUCUUUUAUGGUAGGCAUUAAUCUUACUCAAUUGUAUAUAUUCUGUAAGUUUCUUAUCGUAUAAAGAAAAAAGAAAAACAAGCCAAAAUUCACUUGAUACAACACAUAUAUAGGAAUGUUUUUUUGGUGAGAAAAUGUCAAGGAAAACUAUGAUGUGACGUCCACUAGCUUUUGGGUGAGAGAUGGAAAAAGGGUUCAUCAAACUGUCUCGGGUUAUUUUCUCAUGAUAAUCAUAUGCAUGGUCGAUGGAAAAAUAAUGAAUAAGGUGAUGACAUAUCUUGUUCCAUUCAACAAGAUAGAAUUAGACUUGAUUAAACGUGAAAAAAAAAUAGGGUAGUUCUUUCAACAAAUCUUGUUCAGUCCUAUGUACUGAACAUGACAAUGUUUUCUGCAAUGAAACCAGUAAUGAAAAAUUAACUAUCCGCUCAUGGAGUGCAAAACUACCUACCGUAGGCUGCAAAAAUGAGAAAGCAGAAGAAGGCAGCAAGAAAAGUAGUCUUGUUGAGUUUAGCCAUCUCUAUGUACUCUUAAUUUCUAGUGUUCGUGAUAA